UACGUAGGGUCCGAGCGUUGUCCGGAAUCAUUGGGCGUAAAGAGCUCGUAGGUGGCCUAGUAAGUCAGGUGUGAAAGCCCAGGGCUCAACCCUGGAAGUGCACUUGAAACUGCAUGGCUUGAGUACGGUAGAGGUAAGCGGAAUUCCUGGUGUAGUGGUGAAAUACGUAGAUAUCAGGAGGAACAUCGGUGGCGAAGGCGGCUUACUGGACCAGUACUGACACUGAGGAGCGAAAGCAUGGGGAUCAAACAGG
rnacentral:rRNA from 1 species